rnacentral:rRNA from 1 species
AGUGAACGCUGGCGGUAGGCCUAACACAUGCAAGUCGAACGGCAGCACAGUAAGAGUUUGCUCUUACGGGUUGCGAGUCGCGGACGGGUGAGACAUACAGCGGAAUCUACUUUUUCGUGGGGGAUAACGUAGGGAAACUGACGCUAAUACCGCAUAUGACUUACGGGUGAAAGCAGGGGAUCUUCGGACCUUGCGCGUUUGAAUUAGACGAUGUCGGAUUAGCUAGUUGGUGGGGUAAAGGCCCACCAAGGCAACGAUCCGUAGCUGGUCUGAGAGGAUGAUCAGCCACACUGGAACUGAGACACGGUCCAGACUCCUACGGGAGGCAGCAGUGGGGAAUAUUGGACAAUGGGCGCAAGCCUGAUCCAGCCAUGCCGCGUGAGUGAAGAAGGUCUUCGGGUCGUAAAGCCCUUUUGUUAGGAAAGAACAGCAGCGGGUGUAUCCGACGGUGUUCUGACGGUACCCAAAGAAAAAGCACCGGCUAACUUCGUG